rnacentral:rRNA from 1 species
AACCCUACGGGGGGCAGCAGUGGGGAAUAUUGCACAAUGGGGGAAACCCUGAUGCAGCAACGCCGCGUGAGUGAAGAAGUAUUUCGGUAUGUAAAGCUCUAUCAGCAGGGAAGAAAAUGACGGUACCUGACUAAGAAGCCCCGGCUAACUACGUGCCAGCAGCCGCGGUAAUACGUAGGGGGCAAGCGUUAUCCGGAUUUACUGGGUGUAAAGGGAGCGUAGACGGCAAUACAAGUCGGAAGUGAAAUACCCGGGCUUAACCUGGGAACUGCUUUGGAAACUGUAUGGCUGGAGUGCUGGAGAGG